GAUGAACGCUGGCGGCGUGCCUAAUACAUGCAAGUCGAGCGAACAGACGAGGAGCUUGCUCCUUUGACGUUAGCGGCGGACGGGUGAGUAACACGUGGGUAACCUACCUAUAAGACUGGGAUAACUUCGGGAAACCGGAGCUAAUACCGGAUAAUAUUUCGAACCGCAUGGUUCGAUAGUGAAAGAUGGCUUUGCUAUCACUUAUAGAUGGACCUGCGCCGUAUUAGCUAGUUGGUAAGGUAACGGCUUACCAAGGCAACGAUACGUAGUCGACCUGAGAGGGUGAUCGGCCACACUGGAACUGAGACACGGUCCAGACUCCUACGGGAGGCAGCAGUAGGGAAUCUUCCGCAAUGGGCGAAAGCCUGACGGAGCAACGCCGCGUGAGUGAUGAAGGUCUUCGGAUCGUAAAACUCUGUUAUUAGGGAAGAACAAACGUGUAAGUAACUGUGCACGUCUUGACGGUACCUAAUCAGAAAGCCACGGCUAACUACGUG
rnacentral:rRNA from 1 species